AAAUACAGUCACAAUCUGAGGUCCUAGUGGUUAGGACUUCACCAUGGAAUUGGGACACAAUUCAGCCCAUUAACAGCCACUCUUUACUCAGUAAGUGCACAGAAACAACUAGCCAGGGUUGCCAUUUAAUUUGUCGACCCCCAGCUAAGGCCAAAACUCAGAGAUCUUUAGGGCAUGUUCAAUGAGCUGAAAUCUAGAUCUGGGACUCAGAAGACAGGGCUCUCUGGCUCUGCUGUUAUCACAUCAGGAACUUACUCCACCCCUGGGCAUCAGUUGCUCCAUAAUAUAGUCCAGUAAGAGAGAACUGGUUGAUCUUAAAGUUUUUUAAAUAAACUACGAAGAAGUAAUCACUAAACUUAAGCAGUGGUGCUAGAAAAAUAUAUGGACACCAUCAUCAGCUCCUAGAUUUUUAUCCUUCCUGCCAUGUGCCAUUUCUAUUAGCCCAUUCUGAAUAUAGAACUCCAAAGUAUUGCAAAAAGUAUAUUCAGAUGCAGAAUAUAUCAAAAUUGUAGGUUAUGGUGAGAUAUUUUUUCAUGACAAUUUAAAAAAUAUCAAGUCUGCAUUAUUGUAGCUAUUAUAAAUAGUGAACAAUAUAGGGAUAAAAUACUGGCUUUCAUUUUACCAACUUAUUAAGGAUGUCAAAUCAAAAAUGGAUGUAAAUUUAAGUGUACUAGUGAUGAGUUUCAGUGUUUGCUGCUCACUUUCUGGUGGAAAAGAUACAGUUACCAUCUGGAGUGGGAUUUUGUGAAAUGACAGGACUGCAAAGUAAACCAUCAAGGAGGAGCUGUAGCCAAGAGAACAGCAAAAGAAAAAAGUCCUGUGAAGGAUCAGAAAUAGAGCAGCCCACAAGCUGAUGUUCUUCCAAGGCUCUGCUCAGCUCCAAGAUGGAAAUUAAAGCCGCACCUCAGCCAUGAAGCAUCUCUGACAGCCUGAACUGCAUCUCUCUCCCCGCCAGCUCCUGUGGGCGUUCUGAAGGGACCCAUGAUGAGCUAUAUUGUAAUGUCUGAGCCCUUUGACUCAGCUGUCAACACCCAUUCUCUAAACCAGUGGUUCUCACUAGGGCAAUGUCUGCCACCUAGGGGACAUUUAGCAUUGUCUGGAGAUAUUUUGGGCUUUCCAGGUGGUGUUAGUGGUAAAGAACCUGCCUGCCAAUGCAGGAGACAAAUGAGAUGCCAGUUUGAUUCCUGGGUUGGGAAAUCCCCUGGAGGAGAGCAUAGCAAUCCACUCCAGUAUUCUUGCCUGGAGAAUCCCAUGGACAGAGGAACCUGGCGGUAGAUAUUUUCAUGGCCGAAGUUUGGGGGAGGCAUCUAGUGGGUGGAGACUAGAAGUGUCGCUGAACAUCCUACAACACAUGGGAUGGCCACCCACAACAAAGAAUUAUCCAGCCCAGAUGUCCAUAGUCCUGAGGCUGAGAAAAACUGCCUUCAGCUGACCCUGAAUGAGCUGCUUGAGGUCAGGUCCAUGUCUUGUUUAAUGCUGUGCCUGAGGGUCUAUGCCCCAGGGGCUGGCAUGCAGGAGGUACUCAAGUACUCAAGGGGGUCUAAAGAGAGAGUCAGUCUCAGCCCAGGAGCACACAGCUGAGUCAGGGAAGGGACCACGUGCACACCGGCUUUCCUCCCCACUGACAGUGCAACUGGGGCGGGACAACCAUGACAUGGAUCGCUGAGAGGGGCUUCAUGAGUAUGGGGAGAGGGCCUUAGAAUUGUUUAGUGGGGCUCUUAAGGUUGCAGGAACAGAAAUGCAGGGAGAGAGAUGAAACAUUCACUGUGGAGAUGAGUGCAUGGAAACCAAGCCUUGAGAAAAACAGAGCAGCUGCAAGAAGGCUGGGCUGGGACCUGUCACACUGGCAACUUGCGUGAAGAAGAUGAAGUUGUAGGUCACCUGAACACCCUUGGAUCAACUGGGUAUAAGAGGAAGCCUGUGGUAUAAAAUAAUACCAUGGCCUAGAUCUUCCACUGAGUCAACUGCUGGGACAAGCCAGUCCAUAGGAAGGAGGGGGAGAGGAUGCAGUGACAAAGAGGGCCACGGGAAGAGGCAGGCAGAGGCUGGAGCGAUGCCGCCACAAGCCAGGAACGCUGAGAGCCACCAGAAGCUGGAAGGGAUGUGGACACAAGCUCCCAUGGAAGCUUCAGAGGAAGCGUGGUCCUGCUGACGCCUGAAUUCAGGGCUUCCAGCCUCCAGGGCUGUGGGGUAAUCAGCUUG